rnacentral:ncRNA from 1 species
UUCAGCCGUGUGCUGGGAAACUCGCAUGCACGGUUCUUAGGGGGCUGGAUGAGGGUAACCGUGCCUGACAACCCGAC